rnacentral:lncRNA from 1 species
CGACUCGAUAGUGCUUAGCACUAGCCCAAGACCGUAAUACCCGAGAAACUCGAUAUAAUCAAGAUAAGAAACCCUCUAAGUAUGAUAGAAAAUUUGGAAGAACAAUUAGAGACUACUUGAAAGACUUUUGGAGAGACUUAGAGAACUUUUAAAGAGUGUUCUUUUAUUUGAACUUUCUUUUUAUUCACUUGUUCAACUUCAUUACAAAUGAGGGGGGUGAGGAGGUAUUUAUAGCCUCCAAGGUUAGCUUACAAAGUCUCUAGAUUAUUCUACCAUCAUCUCUAUAACUCUACUAAAAUAUCUAGAUUUUAUCUUACAAACUUCUAGAUUAUUCUACAUAAUUUUCUAAAUAUCUAUCUAAUAGAAUUCUCUAGAACAUUUAAGGAGGUGAUGAUUUUUCUAUGAUGCUCUAGAGAAAUCUAGAACUUAGGCUUAACUUUGGGUUUUAUCCAAUAUAGAAUAUUGAAUUAUAAACCCAUAAUUAAGCUUAAACCAAAAUCAAGUUUAACUUCAAUACUCCCCCUUAAACUUGAUUUUGUCAACCAUCCCGAGCUUCAAGCGAAGUAACUCGAAUUGGCCUUUUGGUAAUGACUUGGUGAAGAUGUCUGCAACGUUGUCCUCACUUCGAACUUCCAAGGCUUCAAUUGUUCCAUCAAGAACCUUCUCCCUUAUGAAGUGAUGUUCUAACUCAAUAUGUUUUGUCCUUGCAUGAAACACCGGAUUGUUAGCUAACUUGAUAGCACUUUGAUUAUCUCCGUAGAUAGCCACCGGUUUAUUUAUGGGCUCGAACAAAUCUUCAAACAGUCUUCGAAGCCAUAUACACUCUUGAGCAGCGAGUGUGGAAGCUUUAUACUCCGCUUCAGUGGUAGAUAGCGAUACCGUUGGUUGUUUCUUGCUACACCACGAAAUGCUUGUGUCUCCACAUAAGAACACAUAGCCCGAAGUUGAUUUUCGGUCAUCUAGAUCUCCACCAAAGUCAGCAUCUGUAAAACCAUGAAGAGAAAUCUUUGCAUUGUACUUGUACACCAAGCCCAUGUCAAGAGUUGUCUUGACAUACUUCAAGAUCUUCUUUGCCGCUUCUAAGUGUGGUUUCCUUGGUGCUUGCAUAAACCGACUUAUAAGACCUACUGCGAAGGCAAUAUCAGGUCUUGUAAUGGUUAAGUAUAGAAGACUUCCCACAAGAGCACGAUAAGGUCGAGGAUCAGGUAACAAUGAACCUUCAUCACGUUUGAGCUUGAUGUUCACAUCCAUCGGAGUAGUGCGCGUCUUUCCUUCGUGCACCCCGAACUUCUCAACAAUCCUUCUUGCAUAACCUUGUUGACCAACGAAUAUUCCAUCCUUUACUCUUUCAACCUCUAGGCCAAGAAAGUUAUUCAGCUCACCCAACUUCUUCAUCUCGAACCUUAUCGACAUAUCUUCUUGUAAGCGAGCAAUUUCUGCAUCAUCAUUCCCAGUAAUUAUCAUAUCAUCCACGUAAAGAAGAACUACUACGUGGACUCCUCCUUUCUUCUUGAAGAAUAGACUCGGGUCAGAAUUUGAUGCCUCAUAGCCGCAAAAUUGAAGGAACUGAGCAACCUUUCCAUACCAAGCUCGUGGAGCUUGUUUUAAUCCGUACAAGGCCUUUUUCAGCUUGCACACAUGAUCAGGAUGCUCUCGUGAUUUGAAACCAGGUGGUUGCUCCAUGAAGAUACUUUUAUCAAGCUCACCAUAUAGAAAGGCAUUCUUCACAUCAAGUUGCCAUAACUUCCAACCAAAACAUGCUGCUAAGGAUAAAAGUGAGCGUACCGUAGUCAUCUUCGCCACUGGACUGAAUGUCUCAUCAUAAUCUUCUCCAUACUUUUGAGAGAAUCCCCGAGCAACCAACCUUGCUUUAAAUCUAUCAAUGCUCCCAUCUGCUUUUCGCUUAAUUCGAUACACCCAUUUGCAAGAAACGGGCUCAACAUCCUUGGGUUUUGGAACCAGAUCCCAAGUUUCAUUUUUCUUGAGAGCACUCAUCUCCUCCUUCAUUGCAGCUUCCCAUUCUUGGACUCCUUUAGCUUCAUCAUAAGAAGAUGGCUCAUCAUCAUCUAACGGAGCUGCGAAGAAGCAUGAAUAAGUAGUGAUGAAUUCUUCAUCUCUAUAUCUUGCAGGCUUGACAAUGUUUCUUUUCGGCCGUUGAUUGACCAUCGAACCAUGAUCUUGUUCCUCUUCUUCUUGGUUAGUGCUCCCCCUUUGACCUUGAAUUUUAUUUCCAGGACUUCCACUCUCACAUGGUACUUGGAGAAUUGAUUCAUCGAUCUUGGAGGAACUCGCACCAUCUUUUUCAACCAAGACUUGAGGUGGCCCGUAGUAUGAAGAAACUUCAUCAAAGACAACAUCACGAGACACAACAUACUUGUGUGUCUCAGGAUCCAUACACCUCCAACCCUUCCUUUGUUCAUCAUAGCCGACAAAUAUGCAUUUCUUCGCCUUUGCCUCCAACUUAGUUCUUUGUGAAUCAAACACAUGGACGUAGCAGACUGAUCCAAAUAUUCUGAGAUGUUUCACCGUUGGCUUCUUCCCAUGAACCAUCUCAUAAGGAGACUUCAUAUUGUUUGGACUAAGUGGCAUCCGGUUGAUGACAUAGGUUGCACAUCUCAUUCCCUCCGCCCAUAACUCCUUAGGCAAAUCUUUGCCAUGGAGCCAACUUCUACACGUCUCACUUAGAUGUCUGAUCUUCCUCUCUGCUACUCCAUUUUGUUGAGGUGUAUGCGGACAUGUAAAUUCUCUCUUGAUACCAUUAUCUCUACAAAAAGAGAGAAACUCCUUAGACAUGAACUCCCCUCCAUUAUCCGUCCUUAAGGUCUUGAUCUUCUGACCUAACUCCCCUUCCACGGUAACCUUGAAUUCUAGAAACUUGGAGAAUACUUCAGAUUUUUCCUUCACAAAGUAUACCCAAGUGUACCGUGAGAAGUCAUCAACGAACAACAACAUGUAGCGAUACCCGGAAUAUGAGGGUGUUCUUGUCGGACCCAUCAAGUCACUAUGGACCCUUUCCAACGGAACACUGCACCUUGAAGUGGAAUAGUCAAAUGGAAGUCUAUGAGACUUUCCAUAUUGACAUCCUUCACAAAGUGUGCCUUCAUCUUGGAUCUUCAACUUUGGGAGCCCGUUAACCAAGUCUUUAUUUACCAUAACCUUGAGCUUAGUCAUAUUUAUAUGACCAAGCCUAGCAUGCCAUAUAAAAGCAUUAUCGUUGGUACUCAUCUUCUCCACAUAAGAGUUUGACGCCGAUAAAACGUACAGAUCUUUAACUCGUGCUCCAGUGUGAACCACAUCCGCCUUUAACUCUUGAAUAUUCUUUAAGAAUUUAACAUCUCUUGGGCCAAAUAAGACAUAGUUACCUGAGUCCACCGCAUUUACCACGGAGAGAAGAUUCUUUUUUACUCCAGGAACAUGGUAAACGUUCUUAAGAGUGAUUGGGCUUCCAUCAUCUCCUUUGAUGACCACCGUUCCUUCCUUCUCAACGUGAUGGAUUGAAUUAUCCGCGGUAAUGAUUGCUUCUUUUCCUUCAUGGCGUUGAAGACUAGAAAAUAAUUUCUCGUCUCCAGUGAUAUGAUGGCUACAACCAGAAUCUACGAUCCAAUUAUUUUCCACUUUCUUAGGUGUAGAUGUACUUGAAGAUGCAGCCUCCACCGUAAAACAUUUUCCCCAUUCUUCGUCUUCAUUAUGACCUUUUGAUUCCGCCAUGUUUGUUUCCUUAAGCUUGACUCGGCAAUCCUUUUUAAAAUGCCCAAGUUUUCCACACCGAUAGCACUUGAAUUUUUUCUUAUCUCCCUUAGAAGAUCCUUCAUGUCCAUCAUUAUUUCUUGGACCACCGUCAUUAGAUUUGGCUUUGAAGUUGUGUUGCCUCCUAGCUACAAAGGCGCUCCCCGAGUCAUCAUGAAUUUUGACUCCCGCCAUUUGUACUGCUAGUGAUUCUUGCGAAGCGAGCAAAUUUUCAAACUCUUCCAAGGAAGGUUGUGUAGCCCAUCCUUGAACCGAAGUCACAAACGGUGUAUACUCGGGUCGUAGACCUCGAAUAAUAAACCGCUUCAACCGAGCAUCCGAGAUUGAUUCCUCCGGAUUAAGACUAUUUAUCUCAGAGCAAAGGUUCUUUACCUUGAUGAAAAACUCCGAGAUUGAAGACUCCCCCUGCUUCGCAUUUGCCAACUCGUUUUCUAACAAUUGUAGACGAGCUUCAUUCUUCUUGUUGAACAGUCGAUCUAACGCUUGCCAAAUUGAACUAGCGGAUGUGCACCUUGAGACAUGCUCAAAUACUCCUGAGGAUAUUGACCUCUUUAAAGCAAACUCCGCCUUGGCAUUUUUACGUGUCCACUCCUUUGUCGCUUCCGCGGUUGCAGCAUCUCCGGUAGGUGGUGAAGUAUUACUUCCGCCGACGACAUCCCAUAAGUCCUCACUAACCAAGUAUGACUCCAUACAUGACUUCCAUAACCGGUAGUUAGAUUGGUUUAAGAUCUCCAUUCCCAAUCCAACAACACGACCCAUAGAUUCCAUACUUAGAGUAGAUCCGAGUUCUCCUAUAAUCCCGAUCUUGAAGAGCACAAUAUUAGAAUGGCUCUGAUACCAUGUAAAGAACCCGACUCGAUAGUGCUUAGCACUAGCCCAAGACCGUAAUACCCGAGAAACUCGAUAUAAUCAAGAUAAGAAACCCUCUAAGUAUGAUAGAAAAUUUGGAAGAACAAUUAGAGACUACUUGAAAGACUUUUGGAGAGACUUAGAGAACUUUUAAAGAGUGUUCUUUUAUUUGAACUUUCUUUUUAUUCACUUGUUCAACUUCAUUACAAAUGAGGGGGGUGAGGAGGUAUUUAUAGCCUCCAAGGUUAGCUUACAAAGUCUCUAGAUUAUUCUACCAUCAUCUCUAUAACUCUACUAAAAUAUCUAGAUUUUAUCUUACAAACUUCUAGAUUAUUCUACAUAAUUUUCUAAAUAUCUAUCUAAUAGAAUUCUCUAGAACAUUUAAGGAGGUGAUGAUUUUUCUAUGAUGCUCUAGAGAAAUCUAGAACUUAGGCUUAACUUUGGGUUUUAUCCAAUAUAGAAUAUUGAAUUAUAAACCCAUAAUUAAGCUUAAACCAAAAUCAAGUUUAACUUCA